UACCUGGUUGAUCCUGCCAGUAGUGAUAUGCUUGUCUCAAAGAUUAAGCCAUGCAUGUCUGAGUACAGACCGAUCCAAGGUGAAACCGCGAAUGGCUCAUUAAAUCAGUCAUAAUUCCUUGGAUAGUGAAAAACUUCCUCGGAUAACUGUGGAAAAUCCAGAGCUAAUACGUGCAACUGAGCUCCGACCUCGACGCGAGUCUUGGGAAGAGCGCAUUUAUUAGAUUCAAAACUGAUCGACGUACUCCUUCGGGAUGGGUCGUUUUUUUAAAGUUUGAUGACUCCGGAUAACUUAGCCGAGCGCUACGGUCCUAGUACCGGCGCCGUAUCUUUCAAGUGUCUGCCUUAUCAGCUUUCGAUUGUAGGUUAAACGCCUACAAUGGCUGUAACGGGUAACGGGGAAUCAGGGUUCGAUUCCGGAGAGGGAGCCUGAGAAACGGCUACCACAUAUAAGGAAGGCAGCAGGCACGCAAAUUACCCACUCCCAGCGCGGGGAGGUAGUGACGAAAAAUAACGAUGCGAGACUCUUCCGAGGCCUCGCAAUCGGAAUGAGUCCAUUUUAAAUCCUUGGACGAGGAUCCAUUGGAGGGCAAGUCUGGUGCCAGCAGCCGCGGUAAUUCCAGCUCCAAUAGCGUAUAUUAAAGUUGCUGCGGUUAAAAAGCUCGUAGUUGGACUUCCUAGAUCCAUUUCGCGAGCGGGUCGCUCGUUGAACUAGCGUUUCGUGCCAGUUACUGGACUAAGGUCGUGGUGUAGGCCGCGCUGGCGUGCCGUUUCUAUCGUUUCGUUUCGGCGUUUCGGUGUUCGGUAUCGUUAUGCGUUGUUCGCGUUACCUCGUGCCUAAUCUUGCGGACGGCGAGACGUUGUCUUCGAGUAUUGCCCGUUCGCGUUUGGUACAAAUAAAAUUUUGUCGGCUCGCUCGGAGUGCUCUUUACCGAGUGUUCCAGGGUGGCCGACACGUUCACUUUGAAAAAAUUAGAGUGCUUAAAGCGGGGCUUAUACGUGGCCUGAAUGUCUGUGCAUGGAAUGAAGUAACAGGACCUCGAUUCUGUUUUUUUUGUCGGUUUUAUUGAACCGAGGUAAUGAUUAAAAGGGACAGACGGUGGCAUUAGUAUUGCGGCGCUAGAGGUGAGAUUCUUGGACCGCUGCAAGACUAACUACUGCGAAAGCGUUUGCCGAGAAUGUUUUCAUUAAUCAAGAACGAAAGUUAGAGGAUCGAAGGCGAUCAGAUACCGCCCUAGUUCUAACCCUAAACUAUGCUAACUAGCGAUCCGCCGGAGUCAUUCCCACGACCCGGCGGGAAGCCCCAGGGAAACCAAAGUCUUUGAGUUCCGGGGGAAGUAUGGUUGCAAAGCUGAAACUUAAAGGAAUUGACGGAAGGGCACCACCAGGAGUGGAGCCUGCGGCUUAAUUUGACUCAACACGGGAAACCUCACCAGGCCCGGACAUCAUAAGGAUUGACAGGUUGAGGGCUCUUUCUCGAUUUGAUGGGUGGUGGUGCAUGGCCGUUCUUAGUUGGUGGAGUGAUCUGUCUGGUUGAUUCCGAUAACGAACGAGACUCUACCCUACUAACUAGUCGGCGGAUCGUAACCCUGAGAUGGUUAGUUGGUAUAGGUCGGUUUUGCGGAGAUGCGGUCGUUGAGUUUUUGUCGGCGCGACGGGUCGUUUUCUCGGGCGUGCGUGUGUACUCGUACAUUUCGCGCGUUCGGGUUCGGCUUUAGUUUCGUCGGCUGCUUUUCGGUUUAGUGUCGAUGUUUCCGUCUGAUUACCGCUACUGCUGGGGGCGUCCGUCGCAAUAUAUCUUCUUAGAGGGAUCAGCGGCGUAUAGCCGACGAGAAAGAGCAAUAACAGGUCUGUGAUGCCCUUAGAUGUUCUGGGCCGCACGCGCGCUACAAUGUAGAGACCAGCGUGCUUUCCCCCUCCGAAAGGAGCGGGGUAACCCGUUGAAACCCCUACCCGAUUGGGAUUGGGGAUUGCAAAUAUUUCCCAUAAACGAGGAAUUCCCAGUAAGCGCGAAUCAUUAAUUCGCGCUGAUUUACGUCCCUGCCCUUUGUACACACCGCCCGUCGCUACUACCGAUUGAAUGAUUCAGUGAGGGCAUCGGACUGGCGCCUUCGGUUUAGUAACAUAGACCUUAGGCUGACGGAAAGAUGUCCGAACUUGAUCAUUUAGAGGAAGUAAAAGUCGUAACAAGGUUUCCGUAGGUGAACCUGCGGAAGGAUCAUUA
rnacentral:rRNA from 1 species